AUCUUGCACCUGAGUUGCCUGGUUCUCUGUCAUGUUUUCCUGCAAAACCUGCAAUAGCUCAGUCAUCCUGCCAGUUCUAUAAUUUUCCAAAGGUCUUGACACGACUGCAGGGUGAUUAUGCAGAACAGGCUGUACAGAUUGAAGGGGCUCAAUGUAAAGCGGCUGACCUGUGCCAUCAACAUCAUCCUCUGCAGCACGCCUAGAAUCUUUAGCAGACAAAUUAACAGCCGAGCCAUUAUCAGUCUUUGUUGACAGUGAAGGGACUUGUGUUCUCUUGAUAACUUCCGUUAACAACUUCUCAAAAGGCAUACCAGGCAAUUUCAUUGAUUUGGC
rnacentral:misc_RNA from 1 species